rnacentral:rRNA from 1 species
AUGUAUCAGCAGAAUUUUUUGGAUAACUCGGUUAAUCAUCCUAACCAAGAUCGAUUAUUGGAUUACAAAAAUUAUUUUUAUUCUGAGUUUUAUUCUCAGAUUCUAUCUGAAGGGUUUGUUUCCAUCUUUUAG